CCUACGGGAGGCAGCAGUGGGGGAUAUUGCACAAUGGGGGGAACCCUGAUGCAGUGACGCCGCGUGGGUGAAGAAGCGCCUCGGCGCGUAAAGCCCUGUCAGCAGGGAAGAAAAUGACGGUACCUGAAGAAGAAGCCCCGGCCAACUACGUGCCAGCAGGCGCGGUAAUACGGAGGGGGCAAGCGUUAUCCGGAUUUACUGGGUGUAAAGGGGGCGCAGACGGCGAUGCAAGCCAGGAGUGAAAGCCCGGGGGCCAACCCCAGGACGGCUCUUGAAACUGCGGGGCUGGAGUGCAGGAGGGGCAGGCGGAAUUCCUGGUGUAGCGGUGAAAUGCGUAGAUAUCAGGAGGAACACCGGUGGCGAAGGCGGCCUGCUGGACUGCAACUGACGUUGAGGCCCGAAAGCGUGGGGAGCAAACAGGAUUAGAUACCCGAGUAGUC
rnacentral:rRNA from 1 species